CUGGCACAUGCAAGUCGAACGAGAAAGCCCCUUCGGGGGUGAUUAAAGUGGCGCACGGGUGAGUAACACGUGGGUUAUCUACCUUUUGGUGGGGGACAACACUUCGAAAGGGGUGCUAAUACCGCAUAAGUCCGCUUCGGCGGGGAAAGGUGGCCUAUCCUUGGAAGCUAUCGCCGAGAGAUGAGCCCGCGGCCCAUCAGCUUGUUGGUAGGGUAAAAGCCUACCAAGGCUACGACGGGUAGCUGGUCUGAGAGGAUGAUCAGUCACAUUGGAACUGAGACACGGUCCAGACUCCUACGGGAGGCAGCAGUGGGGAAUAUUGCGCAAUGGGCGAAAGCCUGACGCAGCGACGCCGCGUGGGUGAUGAAGGUUUUCGGAUCGUAAAGCCCUGUGGGAGAGGGAAGAACAACUCUGGGGAACAAUACCCCCAGGGCCUGACGGUACCUCUCCAGAAAGCACCGGCUAACUCCGUGCCAGCAGCCGCGGUAAUACGGAGGGUGCAAACGUUGUUCGGAAUUACUGGGCGUAAAGCGCGUGUAGGCGGCUUGGCAAGUCAGGUGUGAAAGCCCUCGGCUCAACCGAGGAAGUGCACUUGAAACUGCUUGGCUAGAGUACGGGAGAGGGUAGUAGAAUUCCCGGUGUAGAGGUGAAAUUCGUAGAUAUCGGGAGGAAUACCGGUGGCGAAGGCGGCUACCUGGACCGAUACUGACGCUGAGACGCGAAAGCGUGGGGAGCAAACAGGAUUAGAUACCCUGGUAGUCCACGCCGUAAACGAUGGACACUAGGUGCUGCGGGUAUUGACCCCUGCGGUGCCGCAGCUAACGCGAUAAGUGUCCCGCCUGGGGAGUACGGCGCAAGGCUAAAACUCAAAGGAAUGACGGGGGCCCGCACAAGCGGUGGAGCAUGUGGUU
rnacentral:rRNA from 1 species